rnacentral:piRNA from 1 species
UGGAUACAAAAUGGCUACAGUUAUG